UACGUAGGGUGCAAGCGUUGUCCGGAAUUAUUGGGCGUAAAGAGCUCGUAGGCGGUCUGUCGCGUCGGCUGUGAAAACUCGGGGCUCAACUCCGAGCUUGCAGUCGAUACGGGCAGGCUAGAGUUCGGCAGGGGAGACUGGAAUUCCUGGUGUAGCGGUGAAAUGCGCAGAUAUCAGGAGGAACACCGGCGGCGAAGGCGGGUCUCUGGGCCGAUACUGACGCUGAGGAGCGAAAGCGUGGGGAGCGAACAGG
rnacentral:rRNA from 1 species